GGAUACAAAACCUCUGGUUGUAUGAGAGAAUUUAUCUUUCAAUGGCAGCAAGACAAAUUUCCUCGACGAUUUAACUAUCACCUAUACUUUUAAAACUAUUGGAAAAUAAAUAUUACAUGAAUUUGAAAACAAAAUGGUUAAAUUCUGAAGCUACGCCUUCUUUUCUUUAUUGCUGCAACACUGUUUAUGUUUUUGGCGUUUUUUUUUUUUUUUAAAACCAUCCCUGUGCACGCGAGAUAAGACAUAUCACUCGAAACAAUCGUUUUUGUCUCACAGUGAAGAACAUUUCACAAGAAAAUAGCACCUCAGAACAUACUUAACAAACCAAAUACCACUUCCUCAAA